rnacentral:rRNA from 1 species
CAAAAACAUGUCUUUUAGAUUAUAAUUUAAAGUCUAACCUGCCCACUGAUUUAAUUAUUUAAAGGCCGCAGUAUUUUGACUGUGCAAAGGUAGCAUAAUCAUUUGUCUUUUAAUUGAAGGCUGGAAUGAAUGGUUGAAUGAAGUAUUAACUGUCUCAUUUUUAUAAAUUAAGAAUUUAGCUUUUUAAUCAAAAGGUUUAAAUAAAAUUAAAAGACGAGAAGACCCUAUAGAUUUUUAUAUUAUAUUAUUAUAAUUUUAUUAAGUAAUAAAUUUUACAAUUAUAUAAUUUAAUAUUUGAUUGGGGUGAUUAAAAAAUUUAAUAAACUUUUUUUUUAUUUAAACAUUAAUAUAUGAAUUGUUGAUCCAAUAAUAUUGAUUAAAAGAUUAAAUUACCUUAGGGAUAACAGCGUAAUUUUUUUAGAGAGUUCUUAUCGAUAAAAAAGAUUGCGACCUCGAUGUUGAAUUAAAGAUUAUUUUUAAAUGCAGAAGUUUAAAGUUUAGGUCUGUUCGACCUUUGAAUCUUUACAUGAUCUGA